rnacentral:rRNA from 1 species
GACGAACGCUGGCGGCGUGCUUAACACAUGCAAGUCGAACGGAACUCUUUGGAUCGAGACUUCGGUCAAGUGAAUCUGAGUUUAGUGGCGGACGGGUGAGUAACGCGUGAGGAACCUGCCUUUCAGAGGGGGACAACAGUUGGAAACGACUGCUAAUACCGCAUAACGCAUAGAGAUCGCAUGGUCUAUAUGCCAAAGAUUUAUCGCUGAAAGAUGGCCUCGCGUCUGAUUAGCUAGUUGGUGAGGUAACGGCCCACCAAGGCGACGAUCAGUAGCCGGACUGAGAGGUUGACCGGCCACAUUGGGACUGAGAUACGGCCCAGACUCCUACGGGAGGCAGCAGUGGGGAAUAUUGGGCAAUGGGCGCAAGCCUGACCCAGCAACGCCGCGUGAAGGAAGAAGGCUUUCGGGUUGUAAACUUCUUUUACCAGGGACGAAGAACGUGACGGUACCUGGAGAAAAAGCGACGGCGUAACUACGUG